CCUACGGGAGGCAGCAGUGGGGAAUAUUGGUCAAUGGGCGCAAGCCUGAACCAGCCAAGUAGCGUGAAGGAUGACUGCCCUACGGGUUGUAAACUUCUUUUAUAAAGGAAUAAAGUGAGGCACGUGUGCCUUUUUGUAUGUACUUUAUCCAUAAGGCUCGGCUAACUCCGUGCCAGCAGCCGCGGUAAUACGGAGGAUCCGAGCGUUAUCCGGAUUUAUUGGGUUUAAAGGGAGCGUAGAUGGGUUGUUAAGUCAGUUGUGAAAGUUUGCGGCUUAACCGUAAAAUUGCAAUUGAUACUGGCAGCCUUGAGUACAGUUGAGGUAGGCGGAAUUCGUGGUGUAGCGGUGAAAUGCUUAGAUAUCACGAAGAACUCCGAUGGCGAAGGCAGCAUACUAAACUGCCACUGACAUUGAGGCUCGAAAGUGUGGGUAUCAAACAGGAUUAGAUACCCUAGUAGUC
rnacentral:rRNA from 1 species